GGGACUGUAGUAUAGCGGUUAGUACAUCACGUUGUGGAAACGUAUCGCGGCAAGUCCGUGAAAACCCCGGUUCGACUCCGGGCAGUCCCA